rnacentral:rRNA from 1 species
UACGGAGGGAGCGAGCGUUAUUAGUCAUGAUUGGGCGUAAAGGAUUUGUAGGUGGUUUUUUGAAUUAUUAAAAUAAAAUUAUUUUAUUAAGAAUACAGUUUUAUAAUAUUUAAAAGACUAAGAAUUAAAUAGAAGAUAAUGGUAUUCUCAAUGUAUAGGUGAAAUUUGAUGAGAUUGAUGGAGACCACCAAAAGGCGAAGGCAGUUUUCUAUAUUUAAUUGACACUGAGGAAUGAAGGUAUAGGGAGCAAAUGGG